UAUAUAUAUAUAUGUGUGUGUGUGUGUGUGUGUAGACACACACACACUCACACACAUGUAUAUAUA
rnacentral:pre_miRNA from 1 species